rnacentral:rRNA from 1 species
AGAGUUUGAUCAUGGCUCAGAAUCAACGCUGGCGGCGUGCCUAACACAUGCAAGUCGAACGCGAAAGUGGAGCAAUCCAUGAGUAGAGUGGCAAACGGGUGAGUAACACGUGGGUGACCUGCCUUCGAGCGGGGGAUAACGUCCCGAAAGGGACGCUAAUACCGCAUAACAUCCUGCCUUUUAAGAGGUGGAGAUCAAAGCCGGGGAUCGCAAGACCUGGCACUUGAAGAGGGGCCCGCGCCUGAUUAGCUAGUUGGUGGGGUAAUGGCUCACCAAGGCAACGAUCAGUAUCCGGCCUGAGAGGGCGGACGGACACACUGGGACUGAGACACGGCCCAGACUCCUACGGGAGGCAGCAGAGGGGAAUUGUUCGCAAUGGGCGCAAGCCUGACGACGCAACGCCGCGUGGAGGAUGAAGAUCUUCGGGUCGUAAACUCCUUUCGAUCGAGACGAAUGGUUUCCGGGUGAACAAUCCGGGAAAAUGACGGUACCGAGAGAAGAAGCCCCGGCUAACUCCGUGCCAGCAGCCGCGGUAAUACGGGGGGGGCAAGCGUUGUUCGGAAUUACUGGGCGUAAAGGGCUCGUAGGUGGCCAACUAAGUCAGACGUGAAAUCCCUCAGCUUAACUGGGGAACUGCGUCUGAUACUGGAUGGCUUGAGUUUGGGAGAGGGAUGCGGAAUUCCAGGUGUAGCGGUGAAAUGCGUAGAUAUCUGGAGGAACACCGGUGGCGAAGGCGGCAUCCUGGACCAACACUGACACUGAGGAGCGAAAGCCAGGGGAGCAAACGGGAUUAGAUACCCCAGUAGUCC